UUUCCGUAGGUGAACCCGCGGAAGGAUCAUUAAUGAGUUGUCAUGGGGUUCGAUGCUGGCAGCCAAUUUUUGGAUGCAUGUGCUUGCCCUAACAAUCAUCUUCCAAACACCUGUGCACAUUUUUGAGGGAGUCUUGAGUUGGUUGCCGCUCUUGGGUGAUUUUCUCACAUUCCCUUAAAUCAUUAUACGCUAUUAACAAUGUUGAACGUGCUCUGUGCCGCAAGGCUAUUAAUAUAAUACAACUUUUAACAACGGAUCUCUUGGCUCUC
rnacentral:misc_RNA from 1 species